rnacentral:rRNA from 1 species
GAUGAACGCUGGCGGCGUGCCUAAUACAUGCAAGUCGAGCGAACAGACGAGGAGCUUGCUCCUCUGACGUUAGCGGCGGACGGGUGAGUAACACGUGGAUAACCUACCUAUAAGACUGGGAUAACUUCGGGAAACCGGAGCUAAUACCGGAUAAUAUAUUGAACCGCAUGGUUCAAUAGUGAAAGACGGUUUUGCUGUCACUUAUAGAUGGAUCCGCGCCGCAUUAGCUAGUUGGUAAGGUAACGGCUUACCAAGGCAACGAUGCGUAGCCGACCUGAGAGGGGGAUCGGCCACACUGGAACUGAGACACGGUACAGACUCCUACGGGAGGCAGCAGUAGGGAAUCUUCCGCAAUGGGCGAAAGCCUGACGGAGCAACGCCGCGUGAGUGAAGAAGGUCUUCGGAUCGUAAAACGCUGUUAUUAGGGAAGAACAAAUGUGUAAGUAACUAUGCACGUCUUGACGGUACCUAAACAGAAAGCCACGGCUAACUACGU